rnacentral:rRNA from 1 species
ACUGAAGCCCCGGUGAACGGCGGCCGUAACUAUAACGGUCCUAAGGUAGCGAAAUUCCUUGUCGGGUAAGUUCCGACCCGCACGAAAGGUGUAACGAUUUGGGCACUGUCUCAACGAGGGACCCGGUGAAAUUGAAAUACCUGUGAAGAUGCAGGUUACCCGCGACUGGACAGAAAGACCCCAUGGAGCUUUACUGUAACCUGACAUUGGGUUUUGAUACAUUACGUACAGGAUAGGUGGGAGGCAUGGAAAGCUGGACGCUAGUCUGGCUGGAGCCGACGUUGGGAUACCACCCUUGAUGUAUUGAAAUUCUAACCGCGAGAGUAACGAAAUCCGGGACAGUGUCAGGCGGGCAGUUUGACUGGGGCGGUCGCCUCCGAAAGAGUAACGGAGGCGCCCAAAGGUUCCCUCAGCGCGGCCGGAAAUCGCGCGAAGAGUGUAAAGGCAGAAGGGAGCUUGACUGCGAGUCAAACACGACGAGCAGGUACGAAAGUAGGGCUUAGUGAUCCGGUGGUACCGAGUGGAAGGGCCAUCGCUCAACGGAUAAAAGCUACCCUGGGGAUAACAGGCUAAUCUCUCCCAAGAGUUCAUAUCGACGGGGAGGUUUGGCACCUCGAUGUCGGCUCAUCACAUCCUGGGGCUGAAGUCGGUCCCAAGGGUUGGGCUGUUCGCCCAUUAAAGUGGUACGUGAGCUGGGUUCAGAACGUCGUGAGACAGUUCGGUCCCUAUCCAUCGCGGGCGCAAGAGAUUUGAAGGGGGCUGCUCCUAGUACGAGAGGACCGGAGUGGACGAACCGCUGGUGUACCAAUUAUCCCGCCAGGGGUACAGUUGGGUAGCUACGUUCGGAAAGGAUAAACGCUGAAAGCAUCUAAGCGUGAAACCAGCCUUAAGAUGAGAUCUCUCAUAGAGCAAUCUAGUAAGACACCUUAAAGAAGAUGAGGUUGAUAGGUCGGGAGUGUAAGUACAGCAAUGUAUUGAGCGGACCGAUACUAAUAUGUCGAGGGCUUGACUUA